CGGUUUCCUCUACUGCAGAAUGAAGGAACUCCAAUGUCCCUCUCCUCGUGUACAGGGUUGCAGCCAGUGAAUCACAAGCAGAGACAUCUGUCAACCGCGAAAUAUUCUGAGUGGGGCUACAGUGUAUGCACUUAUCUCCAAAGGAGCAAUGAGCUUCCUCGCAGAUGUCCUGCAAUAAGAGAAGGAUGACUCUCUGCUUGGAUCACUGCCACAUCAUGGCUUCUGUGUGCUACUCAGCAGAUCACCCAUCCUCCCAGCAGCCUCAGAUGCACCCCCUUUUCCCAACUCCCCAAUCUGUCAGUGCCCCCUGACUGAAGUUCCCAC
rnacentral:lncRNA from 1 species